AGCAUUAAUAAAAACAAGAAAAGGGCAGAGGUGCAGAGUCCAGCAGUGACUGACUUUCUUGAUUUGACUGGCCCUGGCAUUGUUGGCAUCAGCUCUCCUGGGAAAGCUGCAGUUCCGCUGUUAUAACACAGGGAGCAGCCUGGAGAAUUUUGAGCUGCGUCACAGAGCUCUGAGAGAGAGAGUGAGUGUGAGAGAGAGAGCAAGCUCCCUCGAUAGGUCUACUAGCAACAGCCCUGCUGCAGCAAGGGGGGAGAGAGAGAGGCAGCAAGAGAGAGAGAGACAGAAGUAAUAACAUCAUGGACUGGGCUCCUGCAACCGGCCAGCUUAAUUUUUAAAAAAUUUAUUUUGGCUUAAUUGAUAUUGGAGGGUUCGCCCAUUGACGAUGCUGGAGACACGAUGCGUUUAAUCCCGCGGGGAGGGAGGGUGGGCAGACGUCGGAAGGGUUAACGUGAGGAAAAUUCUGGAACAUUCUAUUCUGCGGCGCUGCACAGCGAGCGAGCGAAGGGCUAAGGACUGCGCAGAUGUUUAACGGGCAGAGGUCUUCGGCUCGGGGUCCGUCUUUUCCACUUUCAGUUAUGCAAAGUAACAAAAAGCAAGGGAAGAAUGUGACAAACUCUUGGAGGUGGUUUGUUAUGUUAUUUAUGCAAAUAACACUGCCAGAACCAAGUAUUUCGUAGCUUGAAUUACUUCAGUGACAGGUGAGUUUCCUGUUGUUGCAAAAUAAGCCACAGUGACGUGUCAGUCAGGCCAGAGGAAAGUGAUAGACUUUUAUGUAUCUUUCUCUUCCCUCUAAGGAUAUUAAGUUCUUGUUAUUGACCAACAGCACAGGUCCGGGAGGGACCUGGAAAAGAGGGUAAGGAGGCCAAGACAAACAGGAAGACAUUUUUUUUUCAUAACUAUAUUUUGCUAUCUUUUCACCCUCCCUUGCCUCCUCGAAGUGAUCGACAAUGAAGAUUUCAGUUCUCCUCUGACGUUCUGUGGACAAAUCAUUUGAGCUUGGGUCUUCUUGCUCAGGAAGCCAUCCAGAUUCUGCAGAGGAGUAGUAACUUGCCUGAUUAUUCAGCAGGGCGAGUUAUUCCUUAUCCCUUUUUCAUGUGAAGUGACUUCAAGAAUAUGGGGGUACAAGCAUUUAAUGUAUAACUUACCGACAUCUAAAGAGCCAAGUAUAGUGAUUUAGCAACAAUCGCUGGGUUUAGAACCAGAUCAGAUGUAUUGCGUUCUCUUUCUUGAUUUCUUUUAUAGUAGUUUGUCUCCUAAAGUGCAUCCUGAUUUUUAUAUAAUGUAGAUACAUGCGCGCACACCCUUCCAGUGCUGAUUUCAUCAGGUCUUAAAGAGCACCUGCCUUGCUCUCUUGCCUCCAGCUCAAUGUCUUGUGGCAGUAAAAGGGAGGGAGUAGACUGUUUCCAAAGAGGGAGAAGUGGUAGGAGACAGGAGGAGGGAAAACAAUAAGCCAGAGGGGAUAACUGAUCCGCUCUCCUCUUUCCCUCCUCGUGUCCAUCUCUACGUUUUUCAUCUCUCCUCCCUCUUCCAAGGUUCACAGUGAAUUUAAAAUUCUCUUAAUGCGGUUGCCAAUGCCCCUGAUGACUCGCUGAUCCCUCGCCCUGUGUAUUUGGCUCCCUUGGAGUCUCCUUGCUUCCUGCAGUGCCAGGUCCGCAGAGCAGCGGAACGGCAGUAACAAUAUGUGUCUGUUCAUCUUACUGCAGAGCACACAAUACAUAUACGUAUCUAGGCACAAUACUGCAGUUGCAUUUGUACAAGGCAGCAGCUGGGUUAAGAGCUGUUGCUUGGGAGACUGGUGGGUUAAGUCCAUUUUGCUGAAUGUCACGUAUACGGGUGCCCCUUGUUUUCCCACCUAUCAUUGCUGGGGGCUCCGUAUUAACUUGCAACAUACAGUGCCCAAUAAUGGUGUUUGUCAUGCUGUUUGGGGUUUCCACUGGGGAUUGGAUUUAGAGAAGGAGGUACAGUUGGCAGCCCCUCCACUCAACAAAGAGCAAGCAUCCUUUCUGAGCACCCAUAUUCAGGCAUGGAGAGUGGUUCAUUUUUAUUCCUUUUCUCAUUUCUCAGCUGCUUACAGAGAUGUUUGCCUUUGUGACUCAUUUUUGUUGUCUUAUUUUAACCUUUAAGUUUAGUUGCACUGCUAAACACAUGUUCAUGUGGGAAUUGAGCUUACCUGCUGCAGCUAAAUCUAUGGGACUCAAAGGAUCAUCUGAAAUAAGGCAGUGGCAGAGGCAUGGUAUUUUUCCAUAGGGUGAUGGGGAAAACUGACUCAUUCAGAUCAUGUGGCUGGAGUUACUAAUGUAAGUGUGUUAGAGGUAUGAACAAUCAAUUGGUCAAAAGUGGUCUAGUGGUUAAGCACUGAACAGGAGUCAGGAAUUUUGGUUUCUAUUCCUGGCUUUGCCACUUACUUGCUUUUGUGUGACCUUGGUCAUGUCACUUUACCUCCUUGUGCCUUGGCUUCCUCUUCUGUAAAAUGGAGUUUAUCAUACCUGCCUCAGAGGGGUAUUGUGAAGCUUUGUUCAUUAAUGAGCUGAAUCAUUUAGUCUUUACUCAAGCAAAACCCUUACUGAUUUCCAUAGUAGUGUUUACCAUGCAAGGAGUCACAAUUUGGGACCCUGUUGUAAAUCAUUUUCAGACCUUCCAAUGGACGGCGUUAUGCAUUUGAACGCAUUACCUUAAUGUUUUUCUUCGAUUCCAAGGCCAGAAGGGACCAUCGCGAUCGUCCAGUGUGGUCUCCCCGAUAACACAGGCCUUGAAAAUUCCAGUGUUGGGGUUUUUUGUUUUGUUUUUUGCAUCUGAGCAGGGCUCUGAACGGGCGGCCAUGAUUUCUUCCUGCACUUGUUUUGCUGAUGGUCGUGUUACAUCUGUGACGCAUUCUGUUUUGUUGGUGAUGGGAGUCUCCGCUUUGUGGAGCGGAGUGGUGAGGUUUAGAACGGAGAUUCAUAGAGACAUAAAUUCAACGUCGGUAGUAUAGUGUGUAACCAUAACCAAAGCAGCAGUGGUAUCGGCAUCCACCAUUUUCACCCCUCAUAAGCAGCAGAGGAAUCCAAAUGGAGGCAACGGCACCGCUAGCCAUGUUGUUGCUUGCAGAAUAGAUUCUGAGCCUGCAGUGCUGCUGCUGUUAAUUUCCAUGUUGUAUAAAUACAGCGUUGGGCUCUGUGACAGAAGCUUUGCUGAUGCUGUGAGGAGGUUAUGUUCUUUCAGCAAAUGGUUUUGUUGGAGAAAUCUAUUAAAAACAUCCAAAUACUAGAUUUUUGUCCCCUUCCCAACCCACCAGAAAUCACCCCCAAACCAUUGAGAAAACCACAUCUUGCUUUAGGAUUUUUUUAACCCUGUGCAUUGCGUUCUCUUGUAGUUGGUAUGGGUGUGGCCAGGGAUUACCAGUCUUUGAUGCCUGGCGUUGGGACGUAUGCCGCAGUGGUUAGCUAUAGCUGAUACUUAUGGCUGGUGAUGUACCUGAUCACAGGGUUUCCAUAUAAAAUGCCAAUUCCGAGUUGCAUUGAUGCCCUGGUUUAUAGAGGGGAAAUUGAUUCCAUUGUUUCUCCUGCCCUCCCGCCCCCCUACAAUUUUUGCUGGGAAAGAGCAAUAGAUACUUAUGUUGGCUCAUGGAAUGGUUUUACUAGUAUUAAGAAAUACUGAUUGUUUUUAUAUAAUUUAUGCAGAGAUCGAUCUUGGAAUAACUGUGCUCAUGCCCAGAGAGAGUUACCUUCCACAGCAGGGUGGACCAUCGACCACCUCCUGCAAGGUCAUUCUGCUGUCUCACCAUCAGCCACUAACAGUGCUGCCUGACCUCAUGGACAUCCUGUAUUAGAUGCUCAAGCAAGCCACAGACUUUGGAAAGAACCGCAUCAGCUAUCAGAGAUUCCUCUUUUCAUGAAAGGAAACUUGGAUUCCAGAGACAGAAAGGGCACUCUCCAGUGUGCACUGCUGAAAGUGCACAUCAUCACUGGUCCAUCCAGUCAGCCUCUAGUCUAACCAGCAGACACAGCGUCAUCCCUGGAAGACGUCCAAGAGAAGACCAUAGCUGGUGGGGAUGAAGAGUGCCCACAAGGCGGAACAGAAGCCCUGAAGUCUUCUUGCUCCAAGACACAUUUUCUUAGAUGAUGGUUACCAUACUGCAUGGUGCUAGCCAUAACUAUGGACUCUGGAAGAGGAAGGUGACGAGCAGAGGUAAUUUCCAGGGAAGGAAAGGAAGAAAAAUGAUCUGCAGAGAAAGAUAAGAUAUGAGACAAUCCAAUGGCUGGAGGUUGAAGCUAGACUGAAAAUUCAGAAUGGAAAUAAGAUGUACAUUUUUAACAGAGAAUAGUUAACCAUUGGAACCACUUACUAAGGGU